rnacentral:rRNA from 1 species
UAGGGAAUUUUGCACAAUGGGCGCAAGCCUGAUGCAGCAAUGCCGCGUGAGUGAAGAAGGCCCUUGGGUUGUAAAGCUCUUUCGGCUGGGAAGAAGGGCAAUUGCAUUAAUACCGCAGUUGUCUGACGGUACCAGAAUAAGAAGCACCGGCUAACUCCGUGCCAGCAGCCGCGGUAAUACGGAGGGUGCAAGCGUUGUUCGGAAUGACUGGGCGUAAAGGGCACGUAGACGGGACUGUAAGUCGGACGUGAAAUCCCGGGGCUCAACCCCGGAAUUGCGUUCGAAACUGCGGUUCUUGAAUGCUUGAGAGGGUGAUAGAAUUCUAGGUGUAGGAGUGAAAUCCGUAGAUAUCUAGAGGAAUACCGGAGGCGAAGGCGGUCACCUGGCAAGACAUUGACGUUGAGGUGCGAAAGCGCGGGGAGCAAACAG